rnacentral:rRNA from 1 species
UAGGGAAUCUUCCGCAAUGGACGCAAGUCUGACGGAGCAACGCCGCGUGAGUGAAGAAGGAUUUCGGUUCGUAAAACUCUGUUGUUAGAGAAGAACAGCGCAUAGAGUAACUGUUAUGCGUGUGACGGUAUCUAACCAGAAAGCCACCGCUAACUACGUGCCAGCAGCCGCGGUAAUACGUAGGUGGCCAGCGUUUUCCGGAUUUUUUGGGCGUAAAGCGAGCGCAGGCGGUCAAUUAAGUCUGAUGUGAAAGCCCCCGGCUCAACCGGGGAGGGUCAUUGGAAACUGGGUGACUUGAGUGCAGAAGAGGAGAGUGGAAUUCCAUGUGUAGCGGUGAAAUGCGUAGAUAUAUGGAGGAACACCAGUGGCGAAGGCGACUCUCUGGUCUGUAACUGACGCUGAGGCUCGAAAGCGUGGGUAGCAAACAGG